AUCAAAUAGAAAUAAGAAGAUGUGGUGUGAUUGCCAAUGAGACAUUUGUCCAUCAGAUCAAAUAGAAAUAAGAAAUAGUGGUGUGAUUGCCAAUGAGACACUUGUCCAUCAGAUCAAAUAGAAAUAAGAAAUAGUGGUGUGAUUGCCAAUGAGACACUUGUCCAUCAGAUCAAAUAGAAAUAAGAAAUAGUGGUG